UUGCACAAUGGGCGCAAGCCUGAUGCAGCCAUGCCGCGUGUGUGAAGAAGGCCUUCGGGUUGUAAAGCACUUUCAGUUGUGAGGAAGGUGGUGUCGUUAAUAGCGGCAUCAUUUGACGUUAGCAACAGAAGAAGCACCGGCUAACUCCGUGCCAGCAGCCGCGGUAAUACGGAGGGUGCGAGCGUUAAUCGGAAUUACUGGGCGUAAAGCGCAUGCAGGUGGUUUGUUAAGUCAGAUGUGAAAGCCCGGGGCUCAACCUCGGAACUGCAUUUGAAACUGGCAGACUAGAGUACUGUAGAGGGGGUAGAAUUUCAGGUGUAGCGGUGAAAUGCGUAGAGAUCUGAAGGAAUACCAGUGGCGAAGGCGGCCCCCUGGACAGAUACUGACACUCAGAUGCGAAAGCGUGGGGAGCAAACAGGAUUAGAUACCCUGGUAG
rnacentral:rRNA from 1 species